rnacentral:rRNA from 1 species
UACGUAGGUGGCAAGCGUUGUCCGGAUUUAUUGGGUUGAAAGGGUGCGUAGGCGGUCUAUUAAGUCAGUGGUGAAAUAUCGCAGCUCAACUGUGAGGGUGCCAUUGAUACUGAUGGACUUGAGUGAAGUCGAAGUAGGCGGAAUUGACGGUGUAGCGGUGAAAUGCUUAGAUAUCGUCAAGAACACCGAUAGUGAAGACAGCUUACUAGGCUUAUACUGACGCUGAGGCACGAAAGUGUGGGGGUCAAACAGG